GUAGGUGAACCUGCGGAAGGAUCAUUAUCACGUAUCCACGUUAUAAACCAAUGUUGAACUAGUCUUUAAAACCUUUGGAAAUUUUGCUUAAUGGAGUGUAUAUUUAAACAUUUAAACGUUUUGUAAAGUGAUUAAACGUCGUUUAAAUAUAUCAACAAUUUCGAUUGUACAUUAACUUUUCUAAAGUUGUAUUAAUCACUUUAUUAUUAACCAUUUUAACAAUAACAUUAUAAUUUUUGAACUAAAUUAA
rnacentral:misc_RNA from 1 species